rnacentral:rRNA from 1 species
UACGAAGGGGGCUAGCGUUGCUCGGAAUCACUGGGCGUAAAGGGUGCGUAGGCGGGUCUUUAAGUCGGGGGUGAAAUCCUGGAGCUCAACUCCAGAACUGCCUUUGAUACUGAGGAUCUUGAGUUCAGGAGAGGUGAGUGGAACUGCGAGUGUAGAGGUGAAAUUCGUAGAUAUUCGCAAGAACACCAGUGGCGAAGGCGGCUCACUGGCCCGAUACUGACGCUGAGGCACGAAAGCGUGGGGAGCAAACAGG